rnacentral:rRNA from 1 species
UACGUAGGGUGCAAACGUUGUCCGGAAUUACUGGGCGUAAAGAGCUCGUAGGUGGUUUGUCGCGUUGUUCGUGAAAACUCACAGCUCAACUGUGGGCGUGCGGGCGAUACGGGCAGACUGGAGUACUGCAGGGGAGACUGGAAUUCCUGGUGUAGCGGUGGAAUGCGCAGAUAUCAGGAGGAACACCGGUGGCGAAGGCGGGUCUCUGGGCAGUAACUGACGCUGAGGAGCGAAAGCGUGGGGAGCGAACAGG